GACGAACGCUGGCGGCGUGCCUAAUACAUGCAAGUCGAACGCAUUUUCUUUCACCGUAGCUUGCUACACCGAAAGAAAGUGAGUGGCGAACGGGUGAGUAACACGUGGGUAACCUGCCCAUCAGCGGGGGAUAACACUUGGAAACAGGUGCUAAUACCGCAUAAUUCCAUUUACCGCAUGGCAGAUGGAUGAAAGGCGCUUUUGCGUCACUGAUGGAUGGACCCGCGGUGCAUUAGCUAGUUGGUGGGGUAACGGCCUACCAAGGCUGCGAUGCAUAGCCGACCUGAGAGGGUGAUCGGCCACACUGGGACUGAGACACGGCCCAGACUCCUACGGGAGGCAGCAGUAGGGAAUCUUCGGCAAUGGACGCAAGUCUGACCGAGCAACGCCGCGUGAGUGAAGAAGGUUUUCGGAUCGUAAAACUCUGUUGUUAGAGAAGAACAAGGAUGAGAGUGGAAAGUCCAUCCCUUGACGGUAUCUAACCAGAAAGCCACGGCUAACUACGUGCCAGCAGCCGCAGUAAUAC
rnacentral:rRNA from 1 species